AUGUGGUGUGUGUCUGUGUGUCAGUUCAUCACUCUUUCAUGUGACACUGACAUGGUGCUGCUCAUCCCCCUCAUCUUUACACUCUUUCUGGAGGUAAAAUCUCAAGGAUUCUCUGAUCAGUUUUGGCUGACAGCAUCUCCAGCAUCAGUUCAGAAAGACUCAAGCGCAGUGCAGCUGACACAUGAUGAACAUGACGCUCAGUCUGAUUUGAGUAAGAAUGAGCGGCCGGACAUUAAAGUCAUCCAUGAUUCUGAAAAGAGUGAAUUUAGAAUUCUUUGUGACAUACCAGGAUCAGAUGAUGGUGGUUAUACUUGUUUUCUUUCUCUUGGAGAUGAAUAUCCACAAUUUAAAAAGAUGCAAUCUCAUGAACUGUCUGGAAAAACACAGUGUCGUUUUACAGUCUUGGAAUAUGAAUUUUCAAAUAAUCUGAAGUCAGUGGAGAAUAAAGUAGUGAGCUGCAGUUAUUCUCCAAAAAAUGCAUCAUCCAAACGAUCAUAUAGUGAGAAGUACAACCUUACAGCUUUUUUUCCUGUGAAAAUUCAGUCACCACCAACAACAAAGGGAUCAUUAUAUUCAACACCAACUUUCUCUAUAAAUGCUACCACAAUAGAGCCAAAAAAAUCCAGUACUUGUUAUGAGACCACAAUAAACCCUACAACUGAAACUACUCAUCCUUCACAACCUCUCAACGUCACAUGGAACACAACAGGGGUUCUCAAAGUCGCAGCUGCUGGUGAAAAUGCUGUCCAUAGAACACCAAGAACAAAAACAUUGCUCAUCCUGACACUGGCAGCCACAAGCGGAGGGAUUUUCCUGACCGGACUCAUGGGCAUCUAUCUGUGCUACAUCAGACUGAAACCAAGGAAGAAGAGCCCUGUGAAUACAUCUGUAGCAGCCAUUCCCCAGACCUCAGGUAAAUCAUAA
ensembl:lncRNA